ensembl:lncRNA
AUUUAUUUUGGUGGGAAUUCACCAAUCUUCAGGAGGGCGAUGGAGGGGGACGGGGGUGGGGGUAUUUUGUCAUGGGGAUGGAGGCGGGUUGACAAGUAGACAGAAAGCCCGACCAGGGGAUCCCCCAACCUGCGGAGGGGGGCCUCCCGACCCCAGUUCUCCCGCCUAUUGGCCUCUGUCUCCUAGAAGUGAGCGGCUGGGAGUCAGAGGUUUGGGAAACUGGGAGUCACUGAUGGAAUCCUUUGGGAAGAGUUACAGCUUUCCAGAGAAAGACACUGGAGAGCUCAGAACUCCAGGGAAUCUUCAGCUAUUGCCUGAAUAUCCGCAGCACAGAUGCGGAGCAAAAAAAGCUUUCUGCUUGCCUGGGACCUGGACAGAACUUACGCCUUUUAAGAGUUUUGGUGCCCUUUUUAAUUCGAAGUAAAAAAAAAAAAAACUGGUUGUAAAAAAUAUUUUCUUCUUCUUGCUAUUCCUCCGCUUAAGCGGGCCCCACUUGUGCAGUGGAACUGCCCAAGUGCAGUGCAUUUUACCCGGCGCCAGAGAGAAAUCGACAAGUCCGACUCCCUGCUUCUUCCCCUUCCCGCCCUUCCAUCCCCUCCCCCUUGCUUCUUUCCUCCAGAUCGGGCCUGGGCUUCCUUGUGUCUUUAAAUUCGGAAGAGGGUGAGGGGUGUAGAUCUGCGGGGGAGAGAGUGGGCCCCCCUUUCAAAUGGCCCAAAUUAAUGUGAUCGCAACAUGAGGGUGCACUUGGGGAAGAUGAAAGCGGAGGCCGGCCGGCUCCUCCUAGAGCUCUAUAAUUAUAGAUAAUAUAUCCCAUUUCAAAGCAAUUAGACCAAUCAGGCGUAACGAACCACUUUGCUGCCGAUGAAUAACAAAGGCGCACGGUUAUUUAAGCCCAGAGAUGUCAGGCAGACCCCGAGGCUCCAGGGGCCGACCAAACAUCUUCCAUCCUGGCUCUUCCACCCUGGGCUAAAGAAGCUCGACCACGGGGAAAAGAGACUGAACGGGGAAACCAGACCAGGGCGGAGAUGGGCAGGAACAGUCAUCAAUAGACACAUGAAAAAAAGACAGCCACGGGGAUGGCGGAGGAUAACAGCCCUGGAUACAACGAUGCCGAGAAGCCGAAGAACCUCUGCCAUCCGGGGACUCUUGAAGGACCUAAAUAUGAAGUGGAAUGGAAGGUUUCGGGUUGGAAUCUCAGACCCGCAGGUUCCUGAAGCUCUUGGAAGGGGCAGGGUCACGGCUUCUUCUGGGGCCACGCCCUUCAUUACGCCACGCCCCCUCGCCUCGCCACGCCCCUCGCCACGCCACGCCCCUCUGGACUCCGGGCUUGCCUUGGGGCUUUGGAGCAUGUUACAGAAUGAAUGACGACCCUCUGCCGGACCUCAAUUGCUGCAUCAGUGCUAUGGAGACCUGAGCUCCUCUUUGCCGCCCUCCCUGAGAGUGUGUGAGAAGGAUCUGAAUCCAAGGAAACUGGAAAACUGAGGAGACAAAUGCCAAGAUGGGGAAUCGUAAAUUCUAUUAAUAUUAAUAAUAGUUAAUACAACAAUGACUAUUGCAAAGUACUCUUCUGAGCUCUGAGGGUGACUUAAUUCUUUGAAUCUUGGCAGCAACUCUAUUUUUAACCCUGGUUUACGUACAGGAAGGGCUUCCCUCAUAGCUCAGUUGGUAAAGAAUCCGCCUGCAAUGUAGGAGACCCCCACCCCCACCCAGGUUCGAUUCGUGGGUUGGGAAGAUCCCCCGGAGAAGGGAUAGACUACUCACUCCAGUCUUCUUGGGCUUCCCUUGUGGCUCAGGUGGUAAAGAAUCUCCCUAAAAUGUGGGAGACCUGGGUUCUAUCCUGGGUUGGGAAAAUCCCCUGGAGAAGGGAAAGGCUACCCACUCCAGUAUUCUGGCCUGGAGAAUUUCAUGGACUGUGUAGAGCAUGAGGUCGCAAAGAGUCGGACACGACUGAGCUACUUGCACUUCACAUAGGGGAAAGAUGGAGUAAAGUAGUUUACAUGAGCAAAAACGGUCUUGCUAGGUGGCUCAGUGGUGAGGAACCCAUCUGCCAGUGCAGGAGACACAGGUUCGAUCCCUGGGUGGGAAAGAUCUCCUGGAGAAGGAAAUGGUAACCCACUCCAAUAUGCUUGCCUGGAGAACUCCCUGGACAGAGGAGCCUGGCUACAGUCCACAGAGUCGCCAAAGAGCAGAACAUGACUGAUUGACUAAACAACAAUAGCAAUGAACAAAAACAAGGUGUUCUAGGAUUUCCCAUGGCACCCAGGGGAUUCUCAGGCCCGCCACUGCAUGGAUGGACCUCCCUCUGGAGACCCCUGCUCUGGACUCCCUGGUGGGGAAAGGGCAGAGCAGGCUGCAAAGCCUGGCCCAUUCACAGCACUGGUGCUUCCAGCUGCCCAGCUCUGAUCCCUGGGAGUGCCUCUGGGGUGGCUCCCCAGAACAAGCUUGUGUGAGCCCCCAGGACUAGGACAGGGCCAGGCAAAGAGGGGACACUUCAGAGUCGAGGUGAAUGGAUGACCAGAAGGCAGUGUUAGAUCUUCAGCAUGAGCCGGGCCCUUAACCCAGAGUAUCAGGCCAGACCCAUUAGGGCCAGAGACCUGAGCCCUAGGCUCAAGUGUGAAAACAGUCCAUCUCAGCGCUAUCAAAUAGUUCUUGAUGGCCUUUUAAAAGAACACUCCCUGGUCAGGGAACUGGAUCCCUCAUGCCGCAACUAAGGUCUGGUGCAGCUAAAUAAAUAAAUACAAAUUAUAUAUAUGUAUGUGUGU